UUCAAGAGUACGUGAAACCGCUCAGAGGCAAACUGAUGGGACCGCAAAGUCGCCCCGUGGAAUUCAACUCUUCCGAGUGCCCGCCGCGUCACCGCCGCCGAUCCUCAUCGGGACGGUACGGAGACGUUGUCCGCGGGUACCGGAGGGCGCCCUUUCCACGGGGAGAGCGCCACGACCGGUCCUCCGGCAGUCAGAAGGCACGGGGAAAGGUAGCGGGGAUUCGACUUCCUUUCGGGGUUUCGUCGUUCUCCUCGUGUUAUAGUCCCCGUUGUUCGGAGGCCUGCCGGCGAACCGAGGAAUCGCAUGCCGCCGCUUCCGCCUCUCCACCGGUGGUCGGCCUGCCAGUCCCUUCACAGGGGCUGUGCGGGUUUGUUCGCUGUCGGAACGGAGAUGGCGCGGGCCCCCGCGUCGUGUGGCCGGGUCGAGGAUGGACUGUUCACAGUGUGUCCCGACUGCCGGGUCGCUCGGCUGCGGGUGUUGCUCCCGUGAAAUUAAAGAAGCUCAGGGUCCGUGGCGAAUCGAUCGGCACCCCAUCAGACCCGUCUUGAAACACGGACCAAGGAGUCUAACAUGUGCGCGAGUCAUUGGGCUCUACGAAACCCAGAGGCGCAAUGAAAGUGAAGGGCGUUCUCGGAGCGUCCGAGGCAGGAUCCGUCCACGUCUCUCAUCGGUUGGGGGCGGCGCACUGCCGGCCCGUCUCGAUCGCCACGUCGAUGAGGCGGAGCAGGAGCGUACACGUUGGGACCCGAAAGAUGGUGAACUAUGCCUGAGUAGGACGAAGUCAGGGGAAACCCUGAUGGAGGUCCGUAGCGAUUCUGACGUGCAAAUCGAUCGUCGAACUUGG
rnacentral:rRNA from 1 species